GACGAACGCUGGCGGUGUGCUUAACACAUGCAAGUGGCGCGACGAACCAGAGCUUGCUCUGGGGCAAAGCCGCGAACGGGUGAGUAACACGUGGGUAAUCUACCCCGAUGACCGGGACAACCCGAGGAAACUCGGGCUAAUACCGGAUGUGGUACGGAGACAUAAGUCUCUUUACUAAAGGUAGCUUCGGCUUCCGCAUUGGGAGGGGCCCGCAGCCCAUUAGCUAGUUGGUGGGGUCAAGGCCUACCAAGGCAACGAUGGGUAGCUGGUCUGAGAGGACGAUCAGCCACACUGGGACUGAGACACGGCCCAGACUCCUACGGGAGGCAGCAGUGGGGAAUCUUGCGCAAUGCGCGAAAGCGUGACGCAGCAACACCGCGUGAGGGAAGACGGCCUUAGGGUUGUAAACCUCUUUCAGAUGGGACGAAGGUGAUGCGGUGAAUAGCCGAUGUCAUUGACGGUACCGUCAGAAGAAGCUCCGGCUAACUAACGUGCCAGCAGCCGCGGUAAUC
rnacentral:rRNA from 1 species